AUGAACUCUGACAGAGCAAAGGAUGUUUACUUUUGUGUGUUUUGUACUGACAUCAGACUUAUCAUUAGAGUUGUUGCUAGAAAAGUCAUCGGAAGUGACGUAAAAUUUGUCGCUAGAAAUGUUGUCGGAGCUUUCGUCGGAAAUAUCACUAGAGAUGUCUUCGAUUGUGACGUAAGAGGUAUCACCAGGAAUGGCGUCGGUGAUUCUGUCAGAGUUACCAUCAGAGACUACUUUAGUGAAUCUGGAAGUUUUUCUUCUUCCUGUUGUUUUUGUUCUGAUUUUAAUUCAACAAUACAUUUUUGA